rnacentral:lncRNA from 1 species
UUUUUUUUUCUAAAAAAAAUUAAGUGAUUAGGUGGCGCGGGUCCCACCUGAAGGGCCGAAUCCCCUCCUAAUGUGCCACGUCAGUAAUCCCGGCGCAAACAAACAGCUAAUCUCGGGUUAGGGGGUUAAUGGACCGGGAUUAGGAAGGUUAGAGUCCGGAAUCAUGGGAUUAGGAGGUGAGGGUUCAAUUUAGACGAUUCAUACAAGUUUACGUUUAAAAAUGGACUAUUCUCUAGCAGCUACGGAUUUAAUCCCAAUCACUUUGGCAUUUUCUUAACCAGACCUUUCUCUCUUUCUUCUUCUUUCACAAGUUGAUCCUUCCUCCUUUUUGGUAACUUAGUCUCUUUGGUUGCUCCAAUUCCGAUUUCUUCGGUUGCAGAACUUCCCCCUCCUCUGCCAAUUGGAAGAAAACGUGCCUUUUCGCGCUCACUGUAAAAGAAAUCACCGAAUUGUGUAGGUUACAUAUACUUUAUGCUCAUUUCUUCCGAUAAAAGUUUAAUAAUAUAACCGAAAUGGUCACAAAGAACAGAAUAAACGCGUGAAAAGCAGUGCAAAAAUCAUAUUGGUCAUAUACCCUUAAGUUUGCUUGUCCUAAGGAAAGAUAUUCAAAUUUCAAAAUCAGUGAACACAAUAAAGAAUCAAACUCUUACAACACUUGAUCGGCAUAUAUAAAAUAGAAAAACAUGAUGAAUAACAAUAACAUACAAUAGGAUCGAUGCAUCUUUUGUGCACUAUGAGCCUGUUUGGUUUCAGCCCUGUGCAACCUUGCCAAAAAAUUGGCACUACCAAAACAAGGGCACAUCCAAAUUUUUGGUCACAUAUAAUCAUUUGGUUUGUAGCCAUCGUGAUUACCAAAAUAUUGGCAAAAAUCGUUGGGUCUUAAUUUGGUUUGUAGCCAUGUAUCUUUGGAGACUUUCCCACUAUCCCGUGAUAGGUUUUAUCCUAAUUGCUCUGAACCCUUACCGUCACUGCUAUGUUAACCGCCGCCAUGAAAAUUAUCGACGAUGAAGCAGACCAACGUAAUUACCUUAGAUCUCCACACACUCGGAAACAAGGUGACUCAUUCGAUUUGGAGUUACGUCGAUCACAGCACUGUCACUUUCUUCUCCAACUCUGAUCAAUAUCAACUGUAUCAAUUUCUUCAUCAGCAGCAAGAAUUAGGCCAGUUCAUUAGAAUUGCACACUCAUAGGCACAUGAACUACCUUUGCCCUCAAUCAAUUUAUUGUUCAUGAACCUGUAUGGCCAUUCUCAUGUUCCUUUCCUGGCAGACACCUUCCGCCACCGCUGCUGCAGGCCGUCCGGAUGCCACCAUCGUGUUUCCGGCAACAACCACAUCAAACGCUAGCAUCCGUCAUUCUCCGGCGAUGUCUGCAGUCUUGAAGAAGAAAAGAGAGAAAUGGGAAGACAGGGGGAUUUGGCUGGCAAUACUUGGGCGGAAGUUUUCUUCGCCAUCAGGUCGCCAGUGUAUUGGCAAAAAAAGCACUGGCGUAGGUUGGCAGGGUUGGGCUGACCAAAUUCUUGGUGUUAAUCCAAACGGACGCCAAACACCGCGGGCGUACCAAAUAAUUGGCAGGGCGACCAUUGGCUUACAACCAAACAGACCCUAUAAAACACACGGAAGUAAAUAUUGGUUCACAAUUUACCAAUUUCAGUUAACUCGUUGGCUUUCCUAAUCUGCUGUAGAUUUUUUCUUGUAUAUCACACCACACGUCUGAGGUAAGACAUAUGCUUGCUUUGUCGUUUGAAUGAACACGUUUAAAUGUAUCGAACUAUUCAAAUUAUAUAUCAUUUCAGUUCAAACUUAAGUUUAUUGAUUAACAAUUGAUUUAUUAUUUUCUAUGUAAGCUAAAGUGAUUACACAUUCACUAUGGUAGUCAGUUGUGUUUUGACAGCCAUCAUAAUUAAAAAUCACAUAGAUGGUUAAUAGUCAUUUCCUUCUUUUUCAUAUGGCCGAAUUGCAUUAUCGAGAUAAAGAGACGAUAAGUUACUCCAAAUGCAUAAUACAUCUUAUUACAGUGAAAAAAAAUAUGACUUGCAACAUUAAUAUCCAAAACUGAAAAUUUGCAUUAUCAAGUACGAGAGAACUCAAACUUUAUUUACUAUCACAAUUUGAUAUAAUACUUUUUUAGUGGCUAACUUAUUACUAACCAUACAACUCAAUCAUAGUAGUUCUUUUUUUUAAUGGUGCCACUUUGUUUUUGGUGUUGCGUUACACUCAUGGGAGAGUAGAGCGCACCUAGUUAUAGGAUUACAACAUAGUUGAUUAUUACCAAAUGGUUUACAUCCAAAUCCUAUACCUAUAAAUAUCGUUACUCUAGAAUACUUUCCAUAAAUAUCUUAAUUCUAAUUUUUUUCUAGGUUACCAUGAAGAAAUUGUUCCGCGGUCUUUCACGACAAGUGUCUUCCUCUUCAAGCAUGUUCACAAGCCUUCUUAUGACAAGAUAUUUGUCAUUCUCUCUAAUCAUUGCAAAUAUCUUCCGUUGUAAUCCUCCAAAGUAUUGCAGAACAUUCUCAAGUAUGCAAUGCUAUUUUUUAACAAAAACAAAGACGGACUAAAAAGAACAUUGAAAACUCAAAAGUUACACCAAAGCACUCUCAAGCGUCAAAUCUCUAAGCCCACAAGCCAGUCAUCAAGUUCUUUCAUGCACACGGUAACGAAACUCCACAAGACAACAGCUAUAAGCUAAAGAACGUCGAAAUGUUCUGAAUAGUGGCAUGAGUCCUCAACUACAAUAUGUGAGGGUCUUAGACCAUCGAACACAUUGUGGCUGAGGAAACACCCAUCACCAAACAUGCCGUAGAACCACUGCUUCAUCAUCGGGCCGCCAAAGAAGACGACCGUGGUGACGGAAGGACGCAACGGGGGAAACGAGAACACCACUAACUCCUCAACAUCGGAUAGUAAAACUAGGCCAGGAUAGGAAUGGAACAUGGGAACUCUUUUAUCCGCCUUAAAAAAUGCUCCUGCCAAUGACACACAAAACUAUCACUAAAAGCCCUUAUCUACAUGAAAAUCAAAUCCGAACGAAUUUCCAGCUGAUGUCUAGAACAUUUCCAAAAUUCCUCCUAAAGUCUAGAACAUUUCCAAAAUUCCUUAUAUUGGGUCAUUCUACAACAAGUCGUUCGGAAGGUAACAGGAACCACUUAAUCAAAGAAUUCAAACCGAACUACUACUACAAAAUUCUUAUAACCCAUAGAGGUCUGAAAAUGGUAAUUAACAAGCAACCUCCAAGUCUUCAAGAUUAGAAGUCUUAACUCAUGGUUGACCUUUGAAACAAAAGAGAUAUUGGUGUAAUGGUGUUCCCGGCCGGGUGACACGCAUGCAGGCCGAGAGAAAGAAGAGAGAGGAGGAGAGAAGACGACGAGUGCAUGUCUGCAUGCGCACGCGGGCACACCUCCUACAAUUUAGGACGAGAGGCCAUGUCGCCUGAGCAUGCACCGCCAUUGCCGGUGCACCGCUCUCCGGGGCCUCCUCCCGCUUAAGUAACUCUCCACUCCCUCCUUUGACGCAUUCCCCCUCUUCCUCCGCUGCGCCCCCACCGACCAAUUAACCGGAGGCCGGCCGGGCGCCCGUUCCCGCUAAGCUAAGUUGCACGCGCGUACCAAAUUAGCAGCCACAUUGCCUCUGCUCCAUUAGUAAAUUUCCUCUGUUUCGCGCGCGGUGGUCUGUCUCAGUCGAUCGUCCAUCGCCGCCGUCGCCGCCGCCGGGGCAAAAGAUGGCGGGGGCCGUGAUCGUCCACCACCACGCCCGCUACAAGACUUACCCCGGCGAGGUCACCGGCUUCGUCUUCUUCGCCUGCCUCAUCGCCUCCGUCGGCGGCUGCAUCUUCGGCUACGACAUCGGCCUCACCGGUACCAAUUUACUCGAUCAUGGCUAAUCAAUGUUGCCUCUGCCUCUGAGGAUCCUUAAUCCUGACACCAUAAAUUUCUUAUUUGUUGCUGUUGUUGAAGCCGGGCUGACGUCGACGGAGUCAUUCCUGAUCCUCUUCUUCCCGGACAUCUACCGGCAGCAAAAGGAGCAGGUGAUCAAGAACCAGUACUGCAAGUUCGACAGCCAGGAACUCUCCCUCUUCGGCUCCUCCCUCUUCCUCUCCGCGGCCGCCGCCUCCCUCUUCGCGUCCCCGAUGGCGCGCUCCUUCGGCCGCAAGUGGACGCUCUUCUCCGCCGCCACCGCCUACAUCCUCGGCGCCUUCCUGGGCGGCGUCUCCACAACCUUCCCCGUCCUCCUAACGGGCCGGAUCCUCCUGGGCGUCGGCGUGGGCCUCUGCAUCCACGCCUCCCCGCUCUACAUCUCCGAGAUGGCCCCGGCCCAGCACCGCGGCAUGCUCAACAUCCUCUUCCAGUUCAUGAUCACCGUCGGCAUCCUCUCCGCCAGCCUCACCAACUACUGGACGGGGAAGUUCAUCGGCGGCUGGGGCUGGCGCGUGGGGCUCGCCUUCGCGGCCGUCCCGGGCUCCGUGAUCGCCCUCGGCUCCCUCGCCAUCCCCGACACUCCCGCAUCCCUCCUCCUCCGCGGCGAAUCCGAGGCGGCGCGGCUCACCCUGCAGCAGAUCCGGGGGAUCGGGAUCGACGAAGUGAAGCAGGAGUUCGACGACCUCGUGGCCGCCGCCGAGGAGAGCAAGGCCGUGACGAAGCCAUGGCGGGAGCUCCUGUUCGGGGGCAAGUACAAGCCGCAGCUCACCUUCGCGCUGGCGAUCCCCUUCUUCCAGCAGCUGACGGGGAUCAACGUGAUCAUGUUCUACGCGCCCGUGCUGUUCAAGACCAUGGGGUUCCGGCAGGACGCGUCCAUCGUCUCCUCCGUCAUCACGGGGCUCGUCAACGUCUUCUCCACCUUCGUGGCCACCAUGACGGCCGACAAGGUGGGCCGCAGGGCCCUGUUCCUGCAGGGCGGGACCCAGAUGAUCAUCUCCCAGAUCCUCGUGGGCACAUUCAUCGGGCUCCAGUUCGGGCUCAGCGGGACGGGGGCCAUCUCGGAGCAGUACGCCAUGUGCAUCGUGCUCUUCGUCUGCGUCUACGUCGCGGGCUUCGCCUGGUCCUGGGGGCCCAUGGGCUGGCUCAUUCCCAGCGAGGUGUACCCGCUGGCGGUCCGGUCGCAGGCCCAGAGCAUCACGGUCGCCGUCAACAUGGUCUUCACGGCAUUCAUCGGGCAGAUCUUCCUGACGCUGCUGUGCCACCUCCGGUUCGGGCUCUUCUACUUCUUUGGUGCCUGGGUGCUGCUCAUGACGCUCUUCAUCGCCGUGCUGCUGCCGGAGACCAAGUGCGUGCCGCUCGAGGAGGUGGCGCACGUCUGGAGGAAGCACUGGUUCUGGAGGGAGUUCAUGGUCGACACCAGCGCCGACGCACGCGGCGCCGAGAUGAGGAAGAGGAUAGCGCUAGAGAUGAGCUGAUCGUCGGUCCCAUCCAUACAUACAUACAUACAUACAUUGAUCCUCCCCCCAGUCAGCUGGAAGACAUAGCUAGAAUGCAGGAUUCAUUGGUGUCAUAGCAUACACGUCUUGUAAUUGUUUACCGUUUGUUUCAUGUGUCAACUUGUCAGCAAGUUCUUGUAAUUAAUUCUUGUAUUUACCGGAACAGAAAUUUUAUAAUCAGUACUGCCCCUCAGCCAUCCGUGUACAGGACUACUGGUGCCUGAAGUUGCUUUUUUUCUUUGAAGCAAUCAAUCAACGUUUUCUCUUCUUUUCCAUUCCCAAACUAAAAACAAAAUCUCCGUCACAACUCGCAAUUAACAACGAACUAGUACCAGGAAAGACAAAUAGUAGCACGCAUGUUUUGAGCAAAUCGCUGAGUAAGGAGGAGCAGUUCCGAACUGAAAUGAACACUGCCUCGAUCACACAGACGCACACAAGACGUACCGCAGGCAAAAGAGAGGCCGUUGCACAAGGAUCUGAUGCUGUAAACUUGCACACAAACACUAUACACAUACAUGAUACACACAUACAUCAGCUCACUAUUUCUAUUUACCAGUGUCCUGCACAAACUUCACCAUAACUAGGUAGCAGCAGCAGCAGUAGUAUGCACAGCAAACUGGCCAUCACAAACAAGCUAGCAGUGCCGAAGAGGAAGAAAACAGCAAACUGGAGUAGAAGCAGCAACCAAACUACUGGUGUAACAGUCCUGCCGGGCCGCCGUGCCGACGCAGAUCGGCACGCGCGGACACGAGCAGGGAAAGGGGAACGGGCCGGGGAUGGAACAAACUCGGCCGUGGUGGAUCUCAUCUCACUUGGGUCCCCAGAGCAGCAGGUGCAUCACCUUGGCCGUCUUGCCGGCGCCGUCGUCCGCGCGCCGGCCCAUCGCGCCGGCGGCACGGGGCGGCUGCUGCUGCCGCUGCUCGCCGUCCCCGCCCGCCGCCGCAGGCGCCCGGAGAGCCGGGAGCCCCCACCAGCG